GACGAACGCUGGGGCGUGCUAACACGUGCAAGUCGAACGCUAAAGCCUAGCUUGCUGGAUGGGUGAGUGGCGAACGGGGUGAGUGACACGUGAGUAACCUGCCCUCUUCUUUGGGAUAACGCCCGGAAACGGGUGCUAAUAACGGAUAUUCAGUGAUCUUCGCAUGGGGGUUGGUGGAAAGGUUUUUUCUGGUGGGGGAUGGGCUCGCGGCCUAUCAGCUUGUUGGUGGGGUGAUGGCCUACCAAGGCUUUGACGGGUAGCCGGCCUGAGAGGGUGACCGGUCACAUUGGGACUGAGAUACGGCCCAGACUCCUACGGGAGGCAGCAGUGGGGAAUAUUGCACAAUGGGCGAAAGCCUGAUGCAGCGACGCCGCGUGAGGGAUGGAGGCCUUCGGGUUGUAAACCUCUUUCGCUCAUGGUCAAGCCGCAACUUAGGGUUGUGGUGAGGGUAGUGGGUAAAGAAGCGCCGGCUAACUACGUGCCAGCAGCCGCGGUAAUACGUAGGGCGCGAGCGUUGUCCGGAAUUAUUGGGCGUAAAGGGCUUGUAGGCGGUUGGUCGCGUCUGCCGUGAAAUCCUCUGGCUUAACUGGGGGCGUGCGGUGGGUACGGGCUGACUUGAGUGCGGUAGGGGAGACUGGAACUCCUGGUGUAGCGGUGGAAUGCGCAGAUAUCAGGAAGAACACCGGUGGCGAAGGCGGGUCUCUGGGCCGUUACUGACGCUGAGGAGCGAAAGCGUGGGGAGCGAACAGG
rnacentral:rRNA from 1 species